rnacentral:rRNA from 1 species
UACAGAGGUGGCAAGCGUUGUUCGGAAUUACUGGGCGUAAAGGGCGCGUAGGCGGCCAUCUAAGUCAGACGUGAAAUCCCCCGGCUUAACCUGGGAACUGCGUCUGAUACUGGAAGGCUUGAGUAUGGGAGAGGGAUGUAGAAUUCCAGGUGUAGCGUGAAAUGCGUAGAUAUCUGGAGGAAUACCGGUGGCGAAGGCGGCAUCCUGGACCAUUACUGACGCUGAGGCGCGAAAGCUAGGGGAGCAAACGGG